GGAGGAAGACUAUGCAGGGGCGUGCAGACUGCGCGGUGGGCGCACGUCAGGAAGCAGAGGCUGCACACCUCUCACCUGUGCUCUCGGAGGAGCUGCGGAUGCCGCCCUGGAGGCGUCCGAGGACCCCGCCUGAAGCCUUUCAGGAUGAACCCGGGAGCCUCUGUGGAGGCCGUGCUGUCGGCCCGAGAACCGUCUGCCUCCCUCCUUCCCGGCUCUCUCAUCUCCUACCUCUUGCCAGCCCCACCACAUCCUUCAGCCCCAUAGAAGUAUUUUCUGUUCCCUGAGCAUGACAUGCUGCCCCUGGAAACACUCUAGCUGCUCUUUAAGACCUGAGCUUUGAUGUUACCACCGCUAUGAAGAACUCACAGCGGCCAAGCCGGCUCUCAGAGCAGAACAAUGGGAAACGCAGUGACCUGAGCCAGCGGAGGAUGCGGGCUUCCACCUCUCUCUGUGCCUCCACUU